UACAGAGGUCCCGAGCGUUGUUCGGAUUCACUGGGCGUAAAGGGUGCGUAGGUGGUGAGGUAAGUCGGAUGUGAAAUCUCCGAGCUCAACUCGGAAAUGGCAUUGGAAACUACCUUGCUCGAGGGUUGGAGGGGGGACUGGAAUACUUGGUGUAGCAGUGAAAUGCGUAGAUAUCAAGUGGAACACCAGUGGCGAAGGCGAGUCCCUGGACAACUCCUGACACUGAGGCACGAAAGCCAGGGGAGCAAACGGG
rnacentral:rRNA from 1 species